AUUGAACGCUGGCGGCAGGCCUAACACAUGCAAGUCGAGCGGUAGAGAGGUGCUUGCACCUCUUGAGAGCGGCGGACGGGUGAGUAAUGCCUAGGAAUCUGCCUGGUAGUGGGGGAUAACGCUCGGAAACGGACGCUAAUACCGCAUACGUCCUACGGGAGAAAGCAGGGGACCUUCGGGCCUUGCGCUAUCAGAUGAGCCUAGGUCGGAUUAGCUAGUUGGUGAGGUAAUGGCUCACCAAGGCGACGAUCCGUAACUGGUCUGAGAGGAUGAUCAGUCACACUGGAACUGAGACACGGUCCAGACUCCUACGGGAGGCAGCAGUGGGGAAUAUUGGACAAUGGGCGAAAGCCUGAUCCAGCCAUGCCGCGUGUGUGAAGAAGGUCUUCGGAUUGUAAAGCACUUUAAGUUGGGAGGAAGGGUCGUUACCUAAUACGUGACGAUUUUGACGUUACCGACAGAAUAAGCACCGGCUAACUUCGUGCCAGCCGCCGCCGUAAGAG
rnacentral:rRNA from 1 species